rnacentral:rRNA from 1 species
UGCGUAGGCGGUUUACUAAGUCAGAUGUGAAAGCCCCGGGCUUAACCUGGGAACUGCAUUUGAUACUGGUAGGCUAGAGUAUGAUAGAGGGGGGUAGAAUUCCUGGUGUAGCGGUGAAAUGCGUAGAUAUCAGGAGGAAUACCGGUGGCGAAGGCGGCCCCCUGGAUCAAUACUGACGCUGAGGUACGAAAGCGUGGGUAGCGAACA